AGUAAUUUUGAAUAUAAAUUCAGUGCACUACAAAGUAGAGUUUAAUAUUCAAAUAAUAGAAAUUCAACGGAUCAAAAUGAUGAUCAAACUGUUCCUGUUGGCAGCAAUUGUCGCAUUGGCCAUCGAUUUAAUUGAGGGGUGCAAGAACCUAGAUGAACUUUGUUUCGCACCUCUUGGAUUUAUUUGCUGCGCUCCAAAUCACUGCACUAGCCGAUUGAUUCUAGGAAAGUGCAUUUAAAAAUUAAAAAAUCUACCAGUCGAUUGUAAAAACAUUUCCUAUUAUGAAAUGAUCAUGAAUAAAUAAAAAAAUCCAUCAGAAAAAAAAA